UUCAUACUUUUGGUUAUAUCUCUUUUCUUUCGAAGUUUUGAGAGAAUUUUGUAAAUAUCUGGUUACUGAUUGAGUUAUCUGAAGAAAAAAAGAAGAUAUUUUGAUAAUGGGUGCAAAACCCAUUUGAGUGUGCGUGUGUUCAUAGUUGAGGACUGGCAGUUUAUGAUUGUUUAUGCAAAUUGCAAUACUCUUUUUUCAUUAUUUGGUGUUAGAGUAUUGUAAUGGAUUUGUCAAGAUAUGUACUUGAUGUGGUUGGGGACAAAGAUGAAGGAGAAAAUAAUGAGAAUGGAAUUUCGAGAAAUGUACUUGAUGUGGCUGGGGACAAUGAGGAAUUUGCUUGUGCAUUGCGCAUGAGUGAGUUAUGUCGUUUGGGGCAUGAUCUUAUUGUGAAAGCUUCAUUGACUGAUUAUACGACCAAAAUUGUUAUGAAUAGUUUUCGUGGGAGCUUGACAAGAUGAUGUCGGCUAUGAAUAGUGCAAGAGAUGUUGGCAAAGAAUGUCCUCAAGAAGAUCUUGUGAAUGAUGAUAGUUUGCAACCAUGUUUAGUUGCUGAUAAACCAUUUAUUGAUCGGUCACUUGUGAGAAAGAAUGGGAUAGCCAAUGCUAGAAUAAAAAAUAAGCUGAAAAAGAGGAAAAGCAAAGAAGUCAAAGGUGCAGCCACUUCUCAAGUUCUACAACCUAGUUCAAUGGUGAAUGGAGAUGCUCAAACAUCAUUUUUUCCACCUGAGGUGUCUUGUGAUUAUCCCAUGGCUCUACACAAUUGAAUCAAGACUAUGCCACAUCAAAGGAUGAUACAAACUUUUGAAGUAUUUUGGACGGUUUUUGCUAAAGCAUAUUGGACCAACUUUUGGAUAGUGUGAUGCACAGUUGUUAGGACAACUUGGACAAUUGUUUGCACAACUUGUAGCAGCUUUUUGGACAGUUUCUGUAUUGGGAAGCUACUUAAACGUGUUGCUUUCUAUGUGAUAUGUUACUAGGAUUAUGAAAAUAUGUUUUAAGUCUUAUUUUCUAUGUAAUUGCUUGGAAGUCUUGUUUGUGUGUGUGUGUGUGUUUCUUUUUGAGUCUUGUUAUGCUCUCUGAGU